rnacentral:rRNA from 1 species
ACGUGAUCUGAGUUCAGACCGGAGUAAUCCAGGUCAGUUUCUAUCUAUAAAGGGCUUUUUAUAGUACGAAAGGACCUAAAAAGCACGGCCAAUGUUAAAAACAAGCCGUAUUUACUAAUUUAUGAUUUAAACUUAAUAAAUACUUAACCUACAAUUAAACUCUAGCCAAGAGUA